rnacentral:rRNA from 1 species
AUGGCCGAUCUCACCGCCCGCCUCACCAAGCGCCUCGCGGACGCCAACAGCGACCGCAACCUGGUCUUCUCGCCGCUCUCCAUCCACGCCGUCCUCGCGCUCCUGGCCACCGGCACCCGCGGGGACACCCUGGAAGAGAUCCUCCGAGUCCUGGGCGCACGGUCCCGCAGCGAGCUAGAGGACUCCGUGGCGCGCCUCCUGGACGGACCCCUCAGGGACAGGUCGUCGGAGCCUGACGGCGGCGGGCCGAGCGUGGCGUUCGCGUCCGGCGUGUGGAGCGACCUGACGCGGCCGCUGAAGCCGGCCUUCCGCGACGCCGUGGUCGGCAAGUACAAGGCCGAGGCCAGCUCCGUCGACUUCCGCAAAUACCCAGAGCAGGCGGUGCAGCAGAUCGACGCGUGGGCCGCGGCGGCCACGAGGAACCUCAUCCAGUCCGCCGUCCCUCCGGGAGCCGUGCACCGGGGCACCGACCUCGUGCUGGCCAACGCCAUCUACUUCAGGGGCAAGUGGGACGUGCCGUUCUACGAGAGCUCGACCAAGAACAGGCCCUUCUACCGGCUCGACGGCACCGCCGUCGACGUCCCCUUCAUGUCCAACUACGACCGCCACUUCAUCGCCGAGCACGACGGGUUCAAGGUGCUCCAGCUGCACUACAAGAGAAGUUCACGGUACCCUCGUAGUCGGAACCACGGCAUGUCCAUGUGCAUCUUCCUCCCGGACGCGCGCGACGGCCUGGGGAGCCUGCUGGACAAGAUCACGUCGUCGUCCGCCGCAGGCUUCCUGCGCGAGCACCUGCCGACGAGCACGGUCUCGGUGGGCGAGUUCGGGGUGCCCAAGUUCGAGCUCUCCUUCCAGAGCAGCCUCGUCGGCGUGCUCAACGACCUGGGGCUCCGGCUGCCCUUCACCCAGGACGCCGACCUCUCCGAGAUGCUGCAGGAGCAGGACGACGGUUCCGGCUUGCCGUUCCUCGUGCAGGACGUCUUCCAGAAGGCCGUCAUCCAG